rnacentral:tRNA from 4 species
GGGCGAAUAGCUCAGCGGGUUAGAGCGCCUGCCUUACACGCAGGAAGUCGGGGGUUCGAAUCCCUCUUCGCCCA